AUGAACGCUGGCGGCGUGCCUAAUACAUGCCAGUCGAGCGAACGGACGAGAAGCUUGCUGCUCUGAUGUUAGCGGCGGACGGGUGAGUAACACGUGGAUAACCUACCUAUAAGACUGGGAUAACUUCGGGAAACCGGAGCUAAUACCGGAUAAUAUUUUGAACCGCAUGGUUCAAAAGUGAAAGACGGUCUUGCUGUCACUUAUAGAUGGAUCCGCGCUGCAUUAGCUAGUUGGUAAGGUAACGGCUUACCAAGGCAACGAUGCAUAGCCGACCUGAGAGGGUGAUCGGCCACACUGGAACUGAGACACGGUCCAGACUCCUACGGGAGGCAGCAGUAGGGAAUCUUCCGCAAUGGGCGAAAGCCUGACGGAGCAACGCCGCGUGAGUGAUGAAGGUCUUCGGAUCGUAAAACUCUGUUAUUAGGGAAGAACAUAUGUGUAAGUAACUGUGCACAUCUUGACGGUACCUAAUCAGAAAGCCACGGCUAACUACGUG
rnacentral:rRNA from 1 species